UCCUAUUUCUGCAGACUGCUUCUGUACGUCUUUAUUCUCUUCCUCUCUAAAUUUUCCUCUAUAUUACUAAGGCUUUAUACCCACCCACAGCAGUCUACUAUAUUUUAUUCAAUUUCACAAGCAACCAAGAGAAAAAAUCUUAGCAAACAAGUUCCCACAAUUUGCUUUCCAAGUGCAUAUUAUAAUACAAGAUUCAUUACGUAAGGUGAGAUGCUUAGUGCUAUUAGUGGUUUGUCCACAUCUUUUCAAAUACGUUGUUAUGUAUGGAUUUAAUUACUUCAGUUCAGAGCUCCUUUGGGAGAAAUCAUGAUCCAGUUUAAGGCAUAAUUUAGCCUUCACGUUAUUUGCAGCGCUUGCUUGAAUUAUCAUUUGUCAUGGUGUGAUAAUUCUCAUGUUAUGUUGGUAAGAGAAUUUAUGCAUAAUUUCACGUUUGAUUAGAAUGUGGAGUAGCAAGCAUCUCAUUGAGUAUAAUUCGUUAUACUCAUCCCUCUCUAUUUACAAUUUUCAGGUAGAAAUUAGUAUGCUGGACGGCGGUGGAUGGAUGCAUAUUGGACCAUUGGAUCUCCAUCAUGAAGUACUUUAAUUUUUAGAAAC
rnacentral:lncRNA from 1 species